UCAUGAAUAUUACUUUAAUUCAAAGAGCAGCUACAGGUUUUUAACUGUACUUUUUGUUCCUGAAAAGUGGAACCCUUGGUGGGGGCAGGGGGAGCUGCAGCUUUAGAUCCUUAGGAAAAGUUACUCCAUAUUUUGUGACAGGAGAUUUGUUAUUUUUUCUGGAAUGCAAGAUGUUUUGUUAAACUCAGUCUCUCUUAGGAAUAGCAUCCUCAAAGCCAAAUCACUCCCAUUAGCAAUUGCCAUGAGACUGACUUGUUUAUUUAUCAGCAGUUAAUUCCUUCACUCCUCUCACAUGAAGCUAAGAAAUCAGUUUGCUAAAGAGAUGAAUACGUAUUUUUUGGAGUGAGGCAGCCCAGGCAAGAUACCACUUCCUGCUUUCUUUUCCAUAUUUGUUAAUGUUCUUUUAUUAGCACAGUACUAACUUUUCACAAAACAAAGAUCAGAUGGGCAGGCUGAUGCAUGCCUAGUGAUUGCGCCCCGGAGUACAUCAAUUCCUUUAACUUAAAGGACAGGAAAUUUUUGGCAUUGUGAAAAGAGGUCUGUAGGUGAUUUCCUGAUUGUGCAUCUCCAGAAUUGCUACUGAAAAUUAAUCUACAUUCACAAUUAGGUCUUGCAUUCCAUUCUCUUGCGAAAAUGAUAGCAGAGACCUCUCAUCCCCAUUAUUUUCUGUUUUCUUCUGGCAAAGGAUUAGUAUUUCUGUAGGAAUCAGAGUCCUGUCCUUAUGUACCCUGAUAGCCUCGAAGUCUACUUGAAAGCCACAGACUUGCGUUGAACAAGCCAUGUCAACAGGAUGUGUUAGCUCAGUGUGUACUUCAGGGGCUUUCUUACUGUGUGACAACCACACGAGGUAAGUGCUCUACUUGCAGUGCAGUUGUUUUGUAUAAAAAGAAAAAGACCUGAGCUGCCAUUGGUUGUCAUUGCUCUAUAUAGAAAUACUUCCUGGCCAGAAGUUGCUGGAUACCAACAAGCAGUGUGAGGGAGUAACCGGGAUAAUUCAGGACAAAAAUGUAAGAGAGACCAGAAAAAAACUGGGCACGGGAAAGGGAAUGCAGGGAACAGUGCCCGUGUAAACAGGCAGGGUGUGUCUUCUGGUAUGCUUUUUUCCUAACAGUGGAGAACCUGGGGCUGACGCUGACAUGAAGCAUGCCAGUAAAUGUAACACCUGAAGAAAGAGUACACAUGCGAGUCACAAAAGCUUUUGUAAGCUAAAAUUGUUUGCUUUAGCUGCAGGAAGCAGAACUGUGGCACACAGCCAUUUUGCCCUGAUUUUUUCUGUGUUUUUCAACAGAAAAGUCAUCUCCUCUAACAGUUGUGUGCGUGUGAUUCCUGCACUGAAACUGGCUGGGAUGCUGUCAGGAUAAGAAGAUGCAGUUACAUGGCUAGGAGAAAGUAUCAGCAUACAUGAGACUUGACCCCACAGUGACCUGCUUGCACAAGCAGCCUCAGAUUUCUCUGAAGCCUUUAGGUCGAUUGUUCAGUCUGCCCUUGUUGGAACUGGGUUUGGCGCGUUUUAGGAACAAUGUGUUUAGUUUGAGCUGUCACCACCCUGGUUAGCAUUGUCCUGAUGUUAUGAAAGGUGGAAUGACUGGGAAGCCAGGGGAGCACCUGACCAAGAUGAAUCAUUGUGGAACGAUAGUGUAACUUCCAGGAAAGACAGAAGCCAUCACAGAACAGAGCAGGCAGGGAGCGGAGGAGGACACCGUGAGAAAGAAAUAAUUAUGGCAAAAGUAAAAGAAUGCUCUCAACUACUUGUUCAGUCUAAUUGCAUCCUUACAAAUAUGAGCUCAGUGGAAAAAAUAUGGCAGAGAUUCAUUACAGGACAUCUGCUUGGUGAAGUCAUUUUUCUAGUGCACUGCUGGUCUGUUCAAGCCGUAAUACUCUGCUCUUUUGUCCUUAAGAAAUAUCACUGAAAGAAGAUGAUGAAGAAAGAAAAAAUGUUUUAAGAAAAUCAUUGAUAACUCGCAGCUCGAUUAUACUCAACAACUGAAUCAGAAACUGGAUGGCAAAUACAAUUUGUAAUACCAUGUGUUGGCCAAGUCCAUCAGAAAUGAUUGAUGUCUCAUCAUCAUGGUUGGGUACCACAGGAUCCAACAAGGUGCCAGAGUUUAGGAGGACCGGAGGCUGAACUGGCUUUAAACAUGAUAAACCCGAAGAAGGAGCAUGGUGCCUUUCUCACUUCUUUUGAAGCAAUGCUG
ensembl:lncRNA